rnacentral:rRNA from 1 species
GUCUGAUGUGAAAGCCCCCGGCUCAACCGGGGAGGGUCAUUGGAAACUGGGGAACUUGAGUGCAGAAGAGGAGAGUGGAAUUCCACGUGUAGCGGUGAAAUGCGUAGAGAUGUGGAGGAACACCAGUGGCGAAGGCGACUCUCUGGUCUGUAACUGACGCUGAGGAGCGAAAGCGUGGGGAGCGAACAGGAUUAGAUACCCUGGUAGUCCACGCCGUAAACGAUGAGUGCUAAGUGUUAGGGGGUUUCCGCCCCUUAGUGCUGCAGCUAACGCAUUAAGCACUCCGCCUGGGGAGUACGGUCGCAAGACUGAAACUCAAAGGAAUUGACGGGGGCCCGCACAAGCGGUGGAGCAUGUGGUUUAAUUCGAAGCAACGCGAAGAACCUUACCAGGUCUUGACAUCCUCUGACAAUCCUAGAGAUAGGACGUCCCCUUCGGGGGCAGAGUGACAGGUGGUGCAUGGUUGUCGUCAGCUCGUGUCGUGAGAUGUUGGGUUAAGUCCCGCAACGAGCGCAACCCUUGAUCUUAGUUGCCAGCAUUCAGUUGGGCACUCUAAGGUGACUGCCGGUGACAAACCGGAGGAAGGUGGGGAUGACGUCAAAUCAUCAUGCCCCUUAUGACCUGGGCUACACACGUGCUACAA